rnacentral:rRNA from 1 species
GACGAACGCUGGCGGCGUGCCUAAUACAUGCAAGUCGAGCGAAGUUUUUCUGGUGCUUGCACUAGAAAAACUUAGCGGCGAACGGGUGAGUAACACGUAAAGAACCUGCCUCAUAGACUGGGACAACUAUUGGAAACGAUAGCUAAUACCGGAUAACAGCAUUACCUGCAUGGUUGAUGUUUAAAAGUUGGUUUUGCUAACACUAUGAGAUGGCUUUGCGGUGCAUUAGCUAGUUGGUGGGGUAAAGGCCUACCAAGGCGACGAUGCAUAGCCGACCUGAGAGGGUGAUCGGCCACACUGGGACUGAGACACGGCCCAGACUCCUACGGGAGGCAGCAGUAGGGAACCUUCCGCAAUGGGCGAAAGCCUGACGGAGCAACGCCGCGUGAGUGAAGAAGGAUUUCGGUUCGUAAAGCUCUGUUGUUAGGGAAGAAUGAUUGUGUAGUAACUAUACACAGUAGAGACGGUACCUAACCAGAAAGCCACGGCUAACUACGUG